rnacentral:rRNA from 1 species
GUCUAUGGCCAUGCUACCCUGAACGAGCCCGAUCCCCUCUGAUCUUGGAAGCUAAGCAGGGUCGGGCCUAGUUAGUACUUGGAUGAGAGACCAACUAGGAAAGAUGCUGUAGGUG